AAGCCAUCAGGAAUAGGGGGACUUUUGC
rnacentral:piRNA from 1 species